CUCAGUAACGGCGAGCGAAGCGGCAAAAGCUCAAAUUUGAAAUCUGGCGCUUUCAGCGUCCGAGUUGUAAUUUGAAGAAGUAACUUUGGAGUUGGCCUUUGCACAUGUUCCUUGGAACAGGACAUCAUAGAGGGUGAGAAUCCCGUACAUGGUGAGGUGCCCAACUCUUUGUAAAGUACUUUCCAAGAGUCGAGUUGUUUGGGAAUGCAGCUCUAAGUGGGUGGUAAAUUCCAUCUAAGGCUAAAUAUUGGCGAGAGACCGAUAGCGAACAAGUACAGUGAUGGAAAGAUGAAAAGAACUUUGAAAAGAGAGUGAAAUAGUACGUGAAAUUGUUGAAAGGGAAGGGCUUGAAAUCAGACUUGGCUUGUAGUGAUCAACUGUCUCUUGGGACUGUGCACUCGCUGCUUGCUAGGCCAACAUCGGUUUUGGCGGUAAGAUAAUGGCAGAUGAAUGUGGCUCAUUCGUGAGUGUUAUAGCUUCUGUCGAUAUUGCCAGCUGGGACCGAGGACUGCGCUUUAUGCUAGGAUGUUGGCGUAAUGAUUUUAAGCCACCCGUCUUGAAACACGGACCAAGGAGUCUAACGUCUAUGCGAGUGUUUGGGUGUAAAACCCGUACGCGUAAUGAAAGUGAACGUAGAGGAGAGCCUUCACGGGUGCAUCCUCGACCGAUCCUGAAGUAUUCGGAUGGAUUUGAGUAAGAGCAUAGCUGUUGGGACCC
rnacentral:rRNA from 1 species